rnacentral:rRNA from 1 species
AAUCAACGCUGGCGGCGUGCCUCAGACAUGCAAGUCGAACGCGAAAGUUCCCUUCGGGGAAUAAGUAGAGUGGCGCACGGGUGAGUAACACGUAGGUAAUCUACCUUCGGGUGGGGAAUAACCCAGGGAAACUUGGGCUAACACCGCAUGAUGCAGCGGCACCACAUGGUGACAGUUGUUAAAGCGGGGGAGUUUUCGGACCUCGCGCCUGAAGAGGAGCCUGCGGCGGAUUAGCAGUUGGUGAGGUAACGGCUCACCAAGGUCACGAUCCGUAGCCGGCCUGAGAGGGCGGUCGGCCACACUGACACUGACAUACGGGUCAGACUCCUACGGGAGGCAGCAGUCGGGAAUUUUGGGCAAUGGGCGAAAGCCUGACCCAGCAACGCCGCGUGAAGGAUGAAAUCCCUCGGGAUGUAAACUUCGCAAGAAUGGGAAGAAUGAACGAGCGCUAAUACCGUUCGUGAUGACGGUACCAUUUGUAAGCUCCGGCUAACUCCGUG